rnacentral:lncRNA from 10 species
CAACAAUGCACCAUUUCCAGGACUUUGGCAGCCUCCUGACGUACACACCAGGUGUGCAUGCACUUCAGGGCUAGGGUGACACCCUGAUGAUGCUUGUCUCUUGCUCACUUCACAGAGGAUGCCACAUGAGCAUUUUUUCUUCCCUGCAUUUUCUACUCUCAGUCUCAUCUGGAGUCUAAACUUCAUAUCUUGGAUGAGGCUUCAAAAGGGAGGCUGAAAAAUUGCUCAUGGAAAUAGGAUCAUGAGAUUUCAUCUCCUUGAGUCCUUGGAUCCUCCUGGCUUCUCAAGUUGUCAAAGGGGCUGAAUAACAAAGGGAGUUCUGUAUCAUGAGGUGAAAAAUCAAUGCUGAAGUGAAGUCACUCCUCUUUAUGGACACAAAACAAACAAACAAAAACCUAACACUGUUGAAAGUAAGGAAUGAAGACAUAUCAAAUGUUCAGGUUGUUCAAGAGGAUGCUUUGAGAAGAAACAGAAUAAGAGUUCUUGAGGCUGGGAAGUCCAAGGAAGUAUGUCUGCUGAUUCAGUUUUGGAUGAGGGCUUGCUCUGCUCCAGAGAUAGCACCUGUUGCUGGGUCCUUACAUAAAAGAAGGUGCUAAAAAGAUUACAAUGCUCCCAUCAAGUUUCUUUCCAAGAGAACUACUCCCAUUCAUAAAGGCAGAAUGCUCCUGAUUUUAUCACUUCCUAAAAGGCCCUACCUGUUAAUACCAUCACUAUGAAUUUGAGUAGACACAUACAUUCAGAACAUGGCAUAAUCACCAAUGACCAGUGAUUUAACCAAUCAUACCUGCAUCAUAAAGACUCCACAACAAGCCCCAAAGAGUGGUGUGUUGGUUCGUUCUCAUGGUGCCAAUAAAGACAUACUCAAAACUAGGUAAUUUAAAAAGAGAAGACGUUUAAUUGACUUACAGUUCCACAGGGCUGGGGAGGCCUCAGGAAAUUUGCAAUCAUGGCGGAAGGGGAAGUAGACACGUCCUUCUUCACUUGGUGGCAGGAAGGAGUGCUGAGUGAAGCAGGGAAAAGCCCCGUAUAAAACCAUCAGAUCUCAUAAGAUCUCACUCAUUAACAUGAGAACAUGUUGGGGGAAAUUGCCCACGUUAUUCUAUUAUCUCCACCUGGUUCCUUCCACAACACUUGGGGAUUAAGGGAACUACAAUUAAGAUACAAUGUAUGAGAUUUGGGUGGGAAACAGCCAAACCAUAGCAGGUGGGGUUUGUAAAUAACAGAAAUUUAUUUAUAUCCAGAUAUCAGAUAUCAGAAACAUCCAGAUAUCAGAUAACAUGGAGCUUCCUGGAGGAUUAUGGACCCAGAAAGAGCAUGGAAGCUCUGCACAUGCUGUCAUAUCCCUCGCCCUAUGAAUCCCUUCUAUCUGUUCAUUCAUCUGUAUCUUUUGUAAUAUCCUUCCUAAUAACCAGA